rnacentral:lncRNA from 1 species
CUUAGAGUCAAGUGCUCUACCACUGAGCUAAAUCCCUAGGCCCUAGAACACCUUCUAGAUUUGUCAGUUUCCUUCUCUCUUACACACAGAGUUGGGAUUUGGGCUGUGAUUGCUUUAUAUCUGUGGAUUAACUGGGGAUAACUGACAUCUUUACAAUGCUGUUUUCUAAUACAAAUGUUGAGUUCUUUUAUUUAGAUCUUUAAAAGCAUUUCUCUCCAAAUAGUUUUUUAGUUUUUGGUGUGGAAAUAUAGCAUGUUUCAUAAGUAUCCCCAGGUAUUUGACUUUUGAUGCUGUUAUGAAUAUAAUCCUUUCUUCUUUCCUCCCUCUCUCCCUUCGUUUCUUUUACUUUGAUUGCUUGCUACUCUACAGAAAUAAAUUUGAUUUUUUUUGUGUUGACGGACCUUUAUUUUAUUCACUUAUCUAUUUAUAUGUGGUGCUGAGAAUUGAACCUGGUGCUUCACACAUGUGAGGCAAGCGCUCUACCACUGAGCCACAACCCCAGUCCCUAAGUUUUAUUUAAAAAAAUUUUUUUAGAUGUAGUUGGAAACAAUUUUUAUGUGUUGCUGAGGAUCGAACCCAGUGCCUCACAUGUACGAGGUGGGUGCUCCACCACUGAGCUAAAGCCCCA